AUGAAGAGGAGUAUAAAUAGACCCAAUUCUGCAACUCAGAGCAACCACACAGCAAAAACUAUUAGCGGGAAAAGUCUCUGCAUCCUGAAUGAGCAAAGAGAAAACAUGAAUAUCACUCUGGUCCUACUAUUCAUGGCCCCCCUUGCUCUUUCAGCAGACAAGGAUUAUUUCUCCGUUGAUUCUGCUGGAUCUCCUGAGACCAAAUCCAGAUUUGCCAUGUUGGAUGAUGUACGAAUCUUGGCCAAUGGACUCCUGCAGCUCGGGCACGGCCUGAAAGACUUUGUCCACAAGACCAAGGGGCAGAUGAAUGACAUCCUUCAAAAACUUUACAUUUUUGAUAGGUCCUUUUACGAGCUCUCCCUGCAAACCAGCGAAAUCAAGGAAGAAGAAGAACAGCUCAGGCAAACCACGGCCAGACUGCAGAUCAACAACGAGGAGAUAAAGAAUCUCUCGCAGGAGAUGAAUCUGAAGAUCGAAGACCUCAUUCAAAACAAAAUCCAGCUGCAAGAGAAAGUGUGGGGACUGGAGGACAAAGUCACCAAACUGGCCAUCAUCCAGCCUUUGAUGCAAGAGACAAAAGAGAUUUCUUCACUCAAAGCUUUUGUGGAGCAGCAGGAUAAUGACAUCAAGCAGCUUCUCAAAAUCGUGGAGGACCAGCACGUGCAGCUUGACAGGCAGCACAACCAAAUCAAGGAGCUGGAGGACAAGCUAAAUCACAUAGAGCUCCAGGAACUCACAGAGAACUCCUUCAUGGAGGAGCAACCAGAACCAGAGACUAUCCCCUUUCCUGUGCUCAAAGCCACAGCUGGAAGAUACAGAUCUGAUGGUGGUGCUCCUGACUGCACUGCUCUCUAUCACAGUGGUGAGCGGUUCAGUGGUGUUUACACCAUUAAGCCCAACAGCUCAGAAGCCUUUGAUGUCUACUGUGAAAUGAAAUUUGGCACCUCCUGGACUGUAAUCCAGAAGAGAGUGGAUGGAUCACUGGAUUUCAACCAAACCUGGGAUGCCUACACAAAGGGGUUUGGUGAUCUCAAUGAGGAAUUCUGGCUGGGCCUGAACAAGACCUAUUCCAUCACUAAACAAGGGGAUUAUAUCCUACGGAUUGAGCUGCAGGACUGGAAAGGAAACAAACGUCACAUCGAGUACUUGUUCAGCUUGGGAGGCCCCGACACCAACUACACCCUCCAGCUUUCCCGGAUCUCCGGGAGCAUUCCCAAUGCCCUCCCAGAGCAGACAGAGCUGCAGUUCUCGACUGCAGACCGUGAUGUGGACACAAAACACGACUCCAACUGCCCACAAAACUUCCUAGGAGGCUGGUGGCACAGUGAGUGUGAAGAAACCAACCUGAACGGGAAAUACGUCACACCAAGGUCCAGAGCAAGACUAGACAGAAGAAAAGGCCUGUACUGGAAGCCUAAGAAAGGAAGAUACUACUUGCUCAAGUCAACUAAAAUAAUGAUACACCCAACGGAUUUAAAAAGCUUUGACUGAGGGCUCGACCUGAUGCAUUUUAAUUCAGAACAUACUCACUGAACAUUACCACAUCAAAGGACUCCAUGUUUACUAACAGAUGCCUGUCUCAAUCCAUACCCUGUAUGGAGUCUUCUCCAAUACAUAAACCUGAGGCAUCUGAGAUGGUCUUACAAUACAUUUGAAUUGGAUUUUGUUAAUCUCCCAAGUAAAAGGAGCUUCCAGUGCUGUUCUGUCACUGACACAGAGCCCCAUUUCACUCCUACUGAGUUUCAUGGACACAGAGAGCACCAGAGGCAGGAGCGACCCUCACUUACAUGCUCUGCACCAGUAUGACCUGAUGUCCCUGAUGACGUUUCCCCUUAUCACUACUGUAUUUAACACCAGACUUUGGAUGGCUCCCCACAGUGCAAUUGGCACAUAACCAAAACAAUCAAGAAAAAAGGAGAAAAAAAAAAGAGCUUAGCCAACUUUCAAUGGAUAGAACACAAAUCUUUGUAUUCUCAAUGAGCAAGAAAUCAGACCAAAAGAUAUCUGCUGGUCACUGUAAAAUCUGGUUUUAUACACAAAAGUGACAUUGAAAUAAAAAGUUUUCUUAACAAGAUGUGGCACUAAGCAAACCUUAGAAAACGGUUUCAGCUCAUUACUUUUCGCUAAGCUUAACUAAAAAUUUUAUUCCAUUAAAUCAUGUUUUCUACUUCUUCUUGGGAAAAUUUCAAGCUUCUGGCUUAGAAGAGCUGCCACUCAGCAAAGCAGUAUCAGAAGCAGAAUGCUUUGGUUUCUUAGGGAUCCCUGGAUGUGUCCAGAGAACUGAUGCCAACCUCAAAUCACAUUGAGGAACCUGGUUCUGAACCUGCUGAUGUUUCAAUCACCCAGUGAAACCAAAGAAAUCAACUGACCAUCACAGAAUGGUUUGCAUUGGAGGGGACCUUGUAGUCCACCUUGUUCCACCCCCUGCCAUGGGCUGGGACACCUUCCACUAGAACAGGUUGCUCCAAGCCCCAUUCAGCCAGUGACUUUUCCAGUGCAUGUUAGAAAAAUCUGGAGCAAGAAAAACUGCUGUUCUUCUGUGAGGACCCAGUUCUGUUAACUGGAGUGGUUAAGUCACUAAGCCAUAACGAUGCUUUAGCAUUCAAGUCAAAAGCAGCCAAUAAUUUCAAGUUCCACAAGAUAAUUAGUUACAAAUUUAUUGAAAGAAUCCAUCAAUUGACUGUGGACCCAUUACUGGCAGAAUAUAUUAUAUAAUAUUAUAGAACUGGAAGAAAGUAGGCUAUUGGGUAGAAAUAUCUGUGAGGCCCUGGCACAGGUUGCCCAGAGAAGCUGUGGCUGCCCCAUCCCUGGAAGUGUCCAAGG